GCCUCAGUGGCGCAGUUGGUUAGCGCGUAAGUCUCAUAAUCUUAAGGUCGUGAGUUCGAGUCUCACCUGGGGCA
rfam:Clunio marinus genome assembly, contig: CLTMA_superscaffold_15